rnacentral:rRNA from 1 species
CCUACGGGUGGCAGCAGUGGGGAAUAUUGCACAAUGGGGGAAACCCUGAUGCAGCGACGCCGCGUGAGUGAAGAAGUAUUUCGGUACGUAAAGCUCUAUCAGCAGGGAAGAAAAAAAGUCCUUUGGACUUUGGACGGUACCUGACCAAGAAGCCCCGGCUAACUACGUGCCAGCAGCCGCGGUAAUCCGUAGGGGGCAAGCGUUGUCCGGAUUUACUGGGUGGAAAGGGAGCGUAGACGGCAGCGCAAGUCUGGAGUGAAAUGCCCGGGCCCAACCCCGGAACUGCUUUGGAAACUGUGCAGCUGGAGUGCAGGAGAGGUAAGCGGAAUUCCUAGUGUAGCGGUGAAAUGCGUAGAUAUUAGGAGGAACACCAGUGGCGAAGGCGGCCUACUGGACUGUAACUGACGUUGAGGCUCGAAAGCGUGGGGAGCAAACAGGAUUAGAUACCCCAGUAGUC